rnacentral:rRNA from 1 species
GAUGAACGCUAGCGGCAGGCCUAAUACAUGCAAGUCAAGGGGAUAGCAAUAUCACCGGCGGACGGGUGCGUAACGCGUACACAACGUGCCCAAGGGCGGAGGAAAGCGGCGGGAAACUGCCGGUAAUACUCCAUGGUGUUGUUGAGUGGCAUCACUUAACAACUAAAGUACAAGCGCCCUUGGAUCGGUGUGCGUUCGAUUAGCUAGUUGGCGGGGUAACGGCCCACCAGGGCUUCGAUCGAUAGGGGGUGUGAGAGCAUGACCCCCCACACGGGUACUGAGACACGGACCCGACUCCUACGGGAGGCAGCAGUAAGGAAUAUUGGACAAUGGGCGGAAGCCUGAUCCAGCCAUGCCGCGUGAAGGACGAAGGCGCUCAGCGUUGUAAACUUCUUUUGGAUGGGAACAAUAACUCCGACUUGUCGGAACUUGAGGGUACCAUCAGAAUAAGCACCGGCUAACUCCGUG